rnacentral:rRNA from 1 species
GACGAACGCUGGCGGCGUGCUUAACACAUGCAAGUCGAACGGAAAGGCCCUGCUUUUGUGGGGUGCUCGAGUUGCGAACGGGUGAGUAACACGUGAGUAACCUGCCCUUGACUUUGGGAUAACUUCAGGAAACUGGGGCUAAUACCGGAUAGGAGCUCCUGCUGCAUGGUGGGGGUUGGAAAGUUUCGGCGGUUGGGGAUGGACUCGCGGCUUAUCAGCUUGUUGGUGGGGUAGUGGCUUACCAAGGCUUUGACGGGUAGCCGGCCUGAGAGGGUGACCGGCCACAUUGGGACGGAGAUACGGCCCAGACUCCUAAGGGAGGAAGCAGUGGGGAAUAUUGCACAAUGGGCGGAAGCCUGAGGGAGCAACGCAGCGUGCGGGAUGACGGCCUUCGGGUUGUAAACCGCGUUCGCCUGUGACGAAGCGAGAGUGACGGUAAUGGGUAAAGAAGCACCGGCUAACUACGUG